AAUUACCGGCAUAUUGUGUAGUGAUGAACCUAUGAUUUUCUGAAG
rnacentral:snoRNA from 1 species